rnacentral:tRNA from 1 species
CGGGCAUUAGCGCAGUUGGUAGCGCGCAUGCAUGGGGUGCAUGAGGUCAGGGGUUCAAGUCCCCUAUGCCCGA